CCCCUCUUAGGGUCACACCUGAGAGUUUCCUGUACUCUACCAGUCUCGACUAUGGGAGGGGGAGUCAAGCAGAGGCAGAUCUAUUUCAUUCCUAGCUUGGACAGUGGCUAGUGAGUGGAAAACAAUCUGCUACAAGU